rnacentral:rRNA from 1 species
GGGGAACCAGGACUUUUNCUUUGAAAAAAUUAGAGUGCUCCAGGCAGGCCUAUGCUCGAAUACAUUAGCAUGGAAUAAUAGAAUAGGACGUGUGGUUCUAUUUUGUUGGUUUCUAGGACCGCCGUAAUGAUUAAUAGGGMCAGUCGGGGGCAUCAGUAUUCAAUUGUCAGAGGUGAAAUUCUUGGAUCUAUUGAAGACUAACUACUGCGAAAGCAUUUGCCAAGGAUGUUUUCAUUGAUAAGGAACGAAAGUUAGGGGAUCGAAGACGAUCAGAUACSGUCGUAGUCUUAACUAUAAACUAUGCCGACUAGGGAUCGGACGAUGUUAUCUUUUGACGCGUUCGGCACCUUUCGAGAAAUCAAAGUGCUUGGGCUCCAGGGGGAGUAUGGUCGCAAGGCUGAAACUUAAAGAAAUUGACGGAAGGGCACCACCAGGGGUGGAACCUGCGGCUUAAUUUGACUCAACACGGGGAAACUCACCAGGUCCAGACACAGUGAGGAUUGACAGAUUGAGAGCUCUUUCUUGAUUCUGUGGGUGGUGGUGCAUGGCCGUUCUUAGUUGGUGGAGUGAUUUGUCUGCUUAAUUGCGAUAACGAACGAGACCU